GUAACACGUGGGUGACUUGCCCCGAAGAUGGGGAUAACCUCUGGAAACGGGGGCUAAUACCCAAUGUGCUCGGUGAUUCGGUUCAUCGAGUAAAGCUCCGGCGCUUCGGGAGAGGCCUGCGGCCCAUCAGCUAGUUGGUAGGGUAACGGCCUACCAAGGCAGAGACGGGUAGGGGGCGUGAGAGCGCGGACCCCCACACUGGCACUGAGAUACGGGCCAGACUCCUACGGGAGGCAGCAGUAAGGGAUAUUGCGCAAUGGACGAAAGUCAGACGCAGCGACGCCGCGUGGGCGAUGAAGGCCUUCGGGUUGUAAAGCCCUUUUAUGGGGGAAGAGAAAAAGGACGGUACCCCAGGAAUAAGUCCCGGCUAACUACGUGCCAGCAGCCGCGGUAAAACGUAGGGGACAAGCGUUAUCCGGAUUCACUGGGCGUAAAGAGCGUUGAGGCGGUUCCGUAAGUUGGGCGUGAAAGCUCCGGGCUUAACUCGGAGAUGUCGUUCAAUACUGCGGGGCUUGAGGACAGCAGAGGAAGGUGGAAUUCCCGGUGUAGUGGUGAAAUGCGUAGAUAUCGGGAGGAACACCCGUGGCGAAGGCGGCCUUCUGGGCUGUUCCUGACGCUGAAGGCGAAAGCUAGGGGAGCGAACGGGAUUAGAUACCCCGGUAGUCCUAGCUGUAAACGAUGGAUGCUGGGUGUGGGGGGUGUAAAUUCCCUCUGUGCCGAAGCAAACGCGUUAAGCAUCCCGCCUGGGGACUACGGCCGCAAGGCUAAAACUCAAACGAAUUGACGGGGGCCCGCACAAGCAGCGGAGCGUGUGGUUUAAUUCGAUGCUACACGAAGAACCUUACCUGGGUUUGACAUGCACGUGGUAGGGAACCGAAAGGGGACCGACCUUCGGGAGCGUGCACAGGUGCUGCAUGGCUGUCGUCAGCUCGUGCCGUGAGGUGUCGGGUUAAGUCCCGUAACGAGCGCAACCCUUGCCCUUAGUUACAAGUGUCUAAGGGGACUGCCCGGGACAACUGGGAGGAAGGUGGGGAUGACGUCAAGUCAGCAUGGCCUUUAUAUCCAGGGCUACACAC
rnacentral:rRNA from 1 species